UUGAACUCUGUAGAUGCCGACUACAGAGUAGACGCCUGAACAAUCCAAUUCAACAGUCCUGUAUAAAUCAGACUUUUGUGAACCUUUUCUUUGUUUAGAAAGAGAGAACACCCUCCAUCACUGCCUCCUGGAACGCCUGAAACAUGGCUCACGUCCAGAGGGUAGAGAAGAAGACCAGCACCAUGUCCCUGACCAUCUCCUCCUCCUCCUCCUCCUCCUCUGCGUCCUCCACUCGAGGGCUCCCCACCUGCAGCCCCUCCUCCACCUCCUCCUCCUCCACCGUCCU